UCCCUCGGGCCCCGGGCCUGGCUCCACACCCACCUGCUUCCCUCUCUGGCUCCCGCUCCGCGGGGCAGGAGGGUCCGCAUUCGGCGGGCGCCACGCACUGGGCGGCGGGGAAAGCCCGGGACGCCCCGCGUUCGAGCGCUGUGGUGGCUUCGCGGGAUUCCCUGGGCCCUGGUGCUUCCAGCUGCUGGGCUCUCCCCACGCCCGCCCUGACGCGACCCUGACACGGGGCCCGCUACUUGACCCCGGGAACCUAGGGUGAGGGGAGAUCGCUCCUGAGUGAUGGGGCCCAGAGUAUUUUCCCUGAGGAGUCAGGGCUAACCCAGAGCGCAGAUGGGAUCUGACUUUCCUCCCAGCGCCUCCCGGAUGGAAAUCUGGUUAAGAUAAAUGUGGGAGCUGCCAACCACCAUCUACCUAAAGAAAAGAAAAGGAAAGAGAAGAAAAAUGUGUUCCUGGUCCUAAAGGGGGAUGGAGGUGACUUUCUCACUAGCUUUGGCUUGGAUGUGUGAGGAUCGGUCUCAAGGAGUAGCUGCUCUUCAGGCUAGUCCUGGAGUGAGAAGACAUCUAGAACUCAACGGAG